UACGGAGGGUGCGAGCGUUAAUCGGAAUUACUGGGCGUAAAGCGUGCGCAGGCGGUGAUGUAAGACAGUUGUGAAAUCCCCGGGCUCAACCUAGGAACUGCAUCUGUGACUGCAUCGCUGGAGUGCGGCAGAGGGGGAUGGAAUUCCGCGUGUAGCAGUGAAAUGCGUAGAUAUGCGGAGGAACACCGAUGGCGAAGGCAAUCCCCUGGGCCUGCACUGACGCUCAUGCACGAAAGCGUGGGGAGCAAACAGG
rnacentral:rRNA from 1 species